GACGAACGCUGGCGGCGUGCUUAACACAUGCAAGUCGAGCGGUAAGGCCCUUUCGGGGGUACGACGAGCGGCGAACGGGUGAGUAACACGUGGGUGACCUGCCCUUAGCUCUGGGAUAAGCCUGGGAAACUGGGUCUAAUACCGGAUAUGACUCCAUGACGCAUGUUGUGGGGUGGAAAGCCUUGUGCGGCUAGGGAUGGGCCCGCGGCCUAUCAGCUUGUUGGUGGGGUGAUGGCCACCAAGGCGACGACGGUAGCCGCCUGAGAGGCGACCGGCCACACUGGGACUGAGACACGGCCCAGACUCCUACGGGAGGCAGCAGUGGGGAAUCUUGCGCAAUGGGCGAAAGCCUGACGCAGCGACGCCGCGUGGGGAGUGACGGCCU
rnacentral:rRNA from 1 species